CAGCAGCCGCGGUAACACGGAGGGUGCAAGCGUUAAUCGGAAUUACUGGGCGUAAAGCGUACGCAGGCGGUCUGUUAAGUCAGAUGUGAAAUCCCCGGGCUUAACCUGGGAACUGCAUUUGAAACUGGCAGGCUAGAGUCUCGUAGAGGGGGGUAGAAUUCCAGGUGUAGCGGUGAAAUGCGUAGAGAUCUGGAGGAAUACCGGUGGCGAAGGCGGCCCCCUGGACGAAGACUGACGCUCAUGCACGAAAGCGUGGGGAGCAAACAGGAUUAGAUACCCGUGUAGUCCCUGUCUCUUAUAC
rnacentral:rRNA from 1 species